GCCAGAGCUCGGGACUGGUGCUGACCUGCAGGAUGGAGGAGAGAAGAGAAGACUCAUCAACAGAACAAAUGUUGCUGGAACAUUACUUAUAAUGGCAACAAUUGGAAACAAUCAAAGGAUGUCACUAUAGGGACUUGGGUUAAGAAAAUUAUGACACAUCAAAAGAGGCUACGAGAAGAUCUGGUUAAGAGUAUCCUAAGGGAGGAUCUAAGCCUGUUCAUACUCUACAAGCAAAGAAACGAAGAAACACAAGAUUUAAGGUUGUUUGUCAACUGACAGCCCUUUCUAUCAACAACUAAAUA
rnacentral:lncRNA from 1 species